rfam:Ktedonobacter sp. 13_1_20CM_4_53_7 13_1_20cm_4_scaffold_85552, whole genome shotgun sequence.
GAGAGCCGUAUGAAUUGAAAGGUUCCAGUACGGUUCGGGAAGAGGACGACGAAAAAGGGCUGCAAGGUACCUCGUCGGCGUCCUACUUCAU